UACGUAGGGGGCAAGCGUUGUCCGGAAUCAUUGGGCGUAAAGAGCUCGUAGGCGGUUCGGUAAGUCAGGUGUGAAAUCUCCACGCUCAACGUGGAGGCGCCACCUGAAACUGCCGUGCUCGAGUCCGGUAGGGGAGUGUGGAAUUCCUGGUGUAGCGGUGAAAUGCGCAGAUAUCAGGAGGAACACCAGUGGCGAAGGCGGCACUCUGGGCCGGUACUGACGUGAGGAGCGAAAGCGUGGGGAGCGAACAGGAUUAGAUACCCGGG
rnacentral:rRNA from 1 species